UGGGGAAUUGUUCGCAAUGGGCGCAAGCCUGACGACGCAACGCCGCAUGGAGGAUGAAGGUCUUCGGAUUGUAAACUCCUGUUGCCCGGGACGAAACGUUCCGACCUAACACGUCGGAGCUUGACGGUACCGGGUGAGGAAGCCCCGGCUAACUCUGUGCCAGCAGCCGCGGUAAUACAGAGGGGGCAAGCGUUGUUCGGAAUUACUGGGCGUAAAGGGCGCGUAGGCGGCCUUCUAAGUCGAACGUGAAAUCCCCGGGCUCAACCCGGGAACUGCGUCCGAUACUGGAAGGCUUGAAUCCGGGAGAGGGAUGCGGAAUUCCAGGUGUAGCGGUGAAAUGCGUAGAUAUCUGGAGGAACACCGGUGGCGAAGGCGGCAUCCUGGACCGGUAUUGACGCUGAGGCGCGAAAGCCAGGGGAGCAAAC
rnacentral:rRNA from 1 species